AGAGUUUGAUCAUGGCUCAGGAUGAACGCUGGCGGCGUGCUUAACACAUGCAAGUCGAACGAACCUUCGGGUUAGUGGCGGACGGGUGAGUAACGCGUGGGAAUCUGCCCUCAGGAGGGGGAUAACGGCUGGAAACGGCCGCUAAUACCCCAUAUGCCGAGAGGUGAAAUGAAUUUCGCCUGAGGAUGAGCCCGCGUCUGAUUAGCUAGUUGGUGAGGUAAGAGCUCACCAAGGCAUCGAUCAGUAGCUGGUCUGAGAGGAUGAUCAGCCACACUGGGACUGAGACACGGCCCAGACUCCUACGGGAGGCAGCAGUGGGGAAUUUUCCGCAAUGGGCGAAAGCCUGACGGAGCAACGCCGCGUGAGGGAUGAAGGCCUCUGGGCUGUAAACCUCUUUUCUCAAGGAAGAAGAUCUGACGGUACUUGAGGAAUAAGCCACGGCUAAUUCCGUGCCAGCAGCCGCGGUAAUACGGGAGUGGCAAGCGUUAUCCGGAAUUAUUGGGCGUAAAGCGUCCGCAGGCGGCCCUUCAAGUCUGCUGUUAAAACGUGGAGCUUAACUCCAUCAUGGCAGUGGAAACUGUUGGGCUUGAGUGUGGUAGGGGCAGAGGGAAUUCCCGGUGUAGCGGUGAAAUGCGUAGAUAUCGGGAAGAACACCAGUGGCGAAGGCGCUCUGCUGGGCCAUAACUGACGCUCAUGGACGAAAGCCAGGGGAGCGAAAGGGAUUAGAUACCCCUGUAGUCCUGGCCGUAAACGAUGAACACUAGGUGUCGGGGGAAUCGACCCCCUCGGUGUCGUAGCCAACGCGUUAAGUGUUCCGCCUGGGGAGUACGCACGCAAGUGUGAAACUCAAAGGAAUUGACGGGGGCCCGCACAAGCGGUGGAGUAUGUGGUUUAAUUCGAUGCAACGCGAAGAACCUUACCAGGGUUUGACAUCCUGCGAAUCUCUUGGAAACGAGAGAGUGCCUCCGGGAACGCAGUGACAGGUGGUGCAUGGCUGUCGUCAGCUCGUGUCGUGAGAUGUUGGGUUAAGUCCCGCAACGAGCGCAACCCACGUCUUUAGUUGCCAGCAUUUAGUUGGGCACUCUAGAGAGACCGCCGGUGAUAAACCGGAGGAAGGUGUGGAUGACGUCAAGUCAUCAUGCCCCUUACAUCCUGGGCUACACACGUACUACAAUGCUACGGACAAAGAGCAGCAAGUUCGCGAGGACAAGCAAAUCUCAUAAACCGUGGCUCAGUUCAGAUCGUAGGCUGCAACUCGCCUACGUGAAGGAGGAAUCGCUAGUAAUCGCAGGUCAGCAUACUGCGGUGAAUACGUUCCCGGGCCUUGUACACACCGCCCGUCACACCAUGGAAGUUGGCCACGCCCGAAGCCGUUACUCCAACCCUUGUGGAGGAGGACGUCGAAGGUGGGGCUGAUGACUGGGGUGAAGUCAUAACAAGGUAACCGUA
rnacentral:rRNA from 1 species